rnacentral:rRNA from 1 species
AUGGGCGUCCUUGACUCUUGGCACAAGGAAGAAUGCUGCCAAUGGAGUGGCGUCAAGUGCAGCAACCGAACCGGCCAUGUCCUUAGGCUUCAUCUUCGUAAUCUGCAUGUGGACACGGUCCCGCUCAAUGGAUUGAGCAUCGCUGGAUACUACAGAGACACAGCUUUGGUUGGCCAGAUAAGUAAUUCUUUGCUCUCCAUGGAUCGUCUUGUGCACCUUGAUCUUAUUAUGAAUUAUCUCGAGGGCCCAAGUGGCCGUAUGCCGCAGUUCUUGGCCUCUGUGACGAGAUUGAGAUAUCUCAACCUCUCCGGCGUACCAUUUUCUGGCAGAGUGCCCCCUCAGCUCGGCAACCUCUCAAAUUUGCAGCAUCUUGACCUCUCAAGGAAUGAUCGUAUGUACUCAAAAGAUAUUUCAUGGGUAGCACGCAUCCCUAAUUUGCAGUCUCUUGGAAUGAAUGGGGUAAACCUCAGCACAAUAGUUGAUUGGCCUUAUGUCGUCAACAUGGUCCCUUCUUUGAAGGCCCUCGAUCUUGGGGGUUGCUCUCUUCAAAUCGCAAAUCAUUCACUCCCACAUAUUAACCUCACCAAACUGGAGAAGCUUGAUCUCUCCGGCAACAGUUUUGCCCACCCAAUGGCAAGGAGUUGGUUUUGGAGUUUGACAGGCCUCCGACAUCUUUACCUUGCCGACACUCAACUAUACGGUCAAGCUCCUGAUGCACUGGCACAUAUGACAUCCCUCCAAGUCCUUGAUUUGUCAGUUAAUAAUAACAUGGUGAUGAUGAAUACAAGCUUCAGAAACCUAUGCAAUCUGAGAAUCCUGGACCUUUCUUCUUGUAGAAUUAAUGGAAAUAUAAAGGAUAUUAUAGGGAGGAUGCCCCAAUGUCCCUUGAACAAACUACAGGAGUUACGUUUGCGCUACACCAAUAUUACCGGAAUCAUGCCGGAUCAGACAGCACAUUUGACCAGCUUAUCCAUUCUUGACAUCUCUUAUAACAACCUAAGUGGACACAUACCACGAGGGGUUGGGCUGCUCUCUAGUUUAAGCAUCCUUGAUCUCUCUAACAACAAUCUCAAUGGACCUGUGCCAUCUGAGAUCGGCAUGCUCGGCAAUUUGACCUUUAUGGAUCUCAGCAGGAACAACUUGAUUGGUGACUUCACUGAAGAACAUUUCACAAGUCUAACGAGGCUAAAGGUGUUGCGUUUAGGUCGGAAUUCUUUGAGACUUACAUUUGGCCUCGAUUGGAUACCACCCUUUAGUUUAGAAGUCGCAGAUCUUGGCUCUUCCCAACUGGGCCCUUCGUUUCCUGCAUGGCUUCAGUCUCAAGUGGACAUUUGGCUGAUGGAUAUAUCUAGCACAGUUAUAGUUGAUAGGCUUCCUGACUGGUUCAACACGACAUUUGCAAAGGUCAGAUAUCUAGACAUCUCCAACAAUGAAAUAAGUGGCAGGUUGCCAAGAAACAUGGAAUUCAUGUCAAUGGAAAAUUUCUUUAUCAAUUCAAAUAAACUAACCGGUGAAAUCCCCAACUUACCAAGAAAUAUUACCACCUUGGACUUGUCUGGAAACUCUUUAUCCGGAAAUUUGCCAUCAAACAUUGGGAUUACAUAUUUGAGUUCAUUAUGGCUACGCUCCAAUCAAAUAACUGGCCGUAUUCCUAAAUCUCUCUGCAAAGUGGAAGCCUUGAACUCCUUGGACUUAAGCAACAAUCUUUUGGAGGGACAACUUCCUCAGUGUUUUGGGGUGAUGGACAUUGGCUUUCUCAUGUUGAGUAACAAUAGAUUCUCUGGCAACUUCCCAUCGUUUCUAAAAAGAUUGAGACAAUUGAAGUCUCUAGAUCUAUCACAUAAUAGUUUUUCCGGAAGGUUGCCAUUGUGGAUUGGAGAGUUGGCUGAAUUAAGAUUUCUGGGGCUAAACCAUAAUACAUUUUCUGGAGAAAUCCCACCUACCAUCUCAAAUCUUAGUCACCUUCGCCAUCUGAACCUAGCAGGCAAUGGCUUAUCAGGUGCCAUACCGUGGCAUAUGUCAAAUAUCACGGCCAUGAUAGGAAUGGACAAAAGCAAUUAUGAGAAUGAGCUAUUUUUUGACGGUUACUUGGGUACGUUCCAUACACUUGAUUUUUCCUCUGCGGUCAUCAAGGGACGAGAACUUAAUUAUAGUUCUGGCAUUUGGGAUUUGGUGAGCAUUGACCUAUCUUUCAACCAAUUAACUGGGGUAAUACCAGAAGAAAUAGCUGCUCUUGAUGCAUUGAUAAACUUGAAUCUAUCAUGGAACCAAUUGAGUGGGAAAAUCCCAAAUAAGAUUGGGGCCUUGCAGGCAUUGGAAUCACUUGACCUCUCAAGGAGCAUGCUUUCUGGCGGAAUCCCUUCGAGCCUAUCAGAUAUAACCUAUUUGAGCUACUUGGACCUGUCUGAUAACAAUCUAACAGGGAGAAUACCAUCAGGACGUCAGCUUGACACCCUCUACACACAGCAACCUUCCAUGUACAGCGGCAACAGUGGUCUUUGUGGGUUUCCUCUUCCAAUCAGUUGCCCGGGAAAGAAUGCAACAAGGAAAGAUGAUCAAAAAAGGAAUGAACAUUCCUUUGAGCCAAUGACCUUUUAUUUUGGACUUGCUCUGGGAUUUAUUCUGUGUCUCUGGGUGGUGUUUUGCAUCUUGUUGUUUAAGAAAGCAUGGAGAACUGCUUAUUUCUGCAUGGUUGACAAGACAUAUGAUCAGAUGUAUGUGUUUUCCGUUCUUACAUGGAAAAGCUGGGCUAGAAAGUGA